rnacentral:rRNA from 1 species
CCUACGGGAGGCAGCAGUGAGGAAUAUUGGUCAAUGGGCGGGAGCCUGAACCAGCCAAGCCGCGUGAGGGAAGAAGGUACAGCGUAUUGUAAACCUCUUUUGUCAGGGAACAAAGGCGGGGACUAGUCCCUGGUUGAGGGUACCUGAAGAAAAAGCAUCGGCUAACUCCGUGCCAGCAGCCGCGGUAAUACGGAGGAUGCGAGCGUUAUCCGGAUUUAUUGGGUUUGAAGGGUGCGCAGGCCGCCCCUUAAGUCAGCGGGUAAAGUCCGGGGCUCAACCCCGGCAGGCCGGUGGAAACUGGCGGGCUGGAGUUGGAGGGAGGUACGCGGAAUGCGCGGUGUAGCGGUGAAAUGCUUAGAUAUCACGCAGAACCCCGAUUGCGAAGGCAGCGUACCGGCUCCACACUGACGCUGAGGCACGAAGGCGUGGGUAUCGAACAGGAUUAGAUACCCUGGUAGUC